AUGGACGAGUUUCCAGCCAGAGUUACACCUGAUAUGAAUGGAAAACUGAUGCAACCCUUCUCAGGAUCAGAAGUGAAGGAGGCCAUAAACUCCAUAGGUGACCUGAAGGCGCCAGGCCCUGAUGGGAUGCCUGCGGUAUUCUAUAAACAUUUCUGGCACCUCUUUGGGGAUAAAAUUACCUCUGAAUUCUUUGCUUUUCUCAAUGUUGGGGGGUUACCUACAGAAUGGAAGAAUACUACCAUCUCUUUAAUCCCAAAGGUAAAGCUUCCAGAAAAGGUGAAAGACCUGAGACCAAUAAGUUUAUGUAAUGUUCUAUAG
rnacentral:rRNA from 1 species